UGGCGCGAGGAGGCGGCCGGGGCCGGCGCGGGCGCCAUGAACGCGGAGAGCGUGCCCCUGUGCGCGCGGCUGGCGGGCGCUGCCUACGCGCGGCAGGGGGCGCAGGGCCGGCGCGCGCACGAGCUGCGCCUGCGGGCGCUGCUGGAGCAGGGAAAAUGUCCUGAAGAUGGAUGGGAUGAAAGCACCAUUGAACUGUUUCUUCACGAACUUGCUAUAAUGGAUAGCAAUAACUUUCUGGACAACUGUGGUGUGGGUGAGAGGGAAGGAAGAGUGGCAUCAGGACUCGUGGCCCGAAGGCAUUACAGGUUGAUCCAUGGAAUUGGAAGGUCGGGUGAUAUUGCUGCUGUUCAGCCUAAAGCUGCAGGGUCUAGCCUUUUGAACAAACUUACUAAUUCAGUAGUUCUGGAUAUUAUAAAAAUGGCUGGUGUCCGGGCAGUGACCAAUUGCUUUGUGGUUCCUAUGGCAACUGGCAUGAGUCUAACUCUGUGUUUUUUAACAUUGCGACACAAGAGACCAAAGGCAAAGUACAUAAUUUGGCCACGUAUAGACCAGAAAUCUUGCUUUAAAUCCAUGAUAACUGCAGGUUUUGAGCCUGUGGUCAUAGAAAAUGUGUUGGAAGGUGAUGAGUUACGGACAGACAUAGAAGCAGUGGAGGCUAAAAUCAAGUCUCUUGGUGCUGAAAAUAUUCUUUGUGUGCAUUCUACAACGUCUUGCUUUGCUCCAAGGGUACCUGAUAGACUGGAGGAACUGGCUGUGAUUUGUGCUAAUUAUGACAUUCCCCACAUUGUCAACAAUGCAUAUGGAGUUCAGUCCUCGAAAUGUAUGCAUCUUAUCCAGCAGGGUGCUCGAGUAGGCAGAAUAGAUGCUUUUGUUCAGAGCUUGGACAAAAAUUUCAUGGUUCCAGUAGGUGGUGCUAUCAUUGCUGGCUUUAACGAGUCCUUCAUUCAGGAGAUCAGCAAAAUGUAUCCAGGAAGAGCAUCUGCCUCUCCUUCUUUAGAUGUCCUCAUUACACUUCUGUCUCUGGGUGCCAGUGGCUACAAACAGUUACUGAAAGAGAGAAAGGAGAUGUUUUCCUAUCUUUCAAGUGAGCUGAAGAAGCUGGCAGAUAACCACAAUGAAAGACUGUUAGACACACCACAUAAUCCCAUUUCCUUAGCCAUGUCACUGAAGAAUCUAGAUGAAAAUAAUGAUGUUGCUGUUACCCAGCUUGGAUCUAUGCUUUUCACAAGACAAGUUUCUGGAGCAAGGGUUGUUCCCCGUGGAUCUGUACAAACAGUGAAUAACUACACUUUUAAAGGCUUUAUGUCUCAUGCAAAUGACUACCCCUGUGCUUACCUCAAUGCUGCCUCAGCAAUUGGAAUUAAAAAACAAGAUGUUGAUGUAUUCCUUAAAAGACUUGACAAGUGUUUGAAGACUUUUAGAAAAGAAGCGAAGAAAGAAAAAAAUGUAAAUGAAAUAAGUAGUGCUAGUACAGGCACAGAGCAACUUGAAGACGAAAAGAUACAGCUUUACUAACAUGGGAAGAUAACACUUUUGUUUGAAGUAUGUCAGGCACACGGCACUAACGGCUUCCACAUACCUCAAAAAUCUGCAAGGUCCAGUUGGCUGUCUCCAGCAUCCACAUUACUAGUGACACAUCUAGGAAGACUGCCUGGGCUUCAGAACAUACCUGAGGAUCACGCAGCAAGAAUGCUUCAUAGAAUCACUAAGAACAGAUGCCCAUUUAGUAAGGCCACCUCACAGCUACUAUUUAUAUAGCUACCUAUCUCUAUCACCUUCUAGGUCACAGCAUGUGGUUACCAGUCAUGAAAUGGCAGUGGGCAAGCACUUGAAAUAUUCCAGAAGAGAUGAGGAUUCAGAAAGAGAAGUUUAGGAGGUUACAAUUCUUGCUGCCUAGUCUGCUGCUCUGCCGAAAGCAGCUGCCUUGUAAUAGAGGCAGCAAAGUGAUCUGUCUGCUUGCCAGCUAUGACAAUUCUUACAGCGUAUGAACAAAUACUGAAACUGAGCAUUCUAAGUAUGAGAAGCAGUGGCUGUAGAGCUAGCGCAUUUCUUGCUUGGCUUCACCCAUAUUCUGUGGGUUCAUGCUUACUGAAGGCAACUGAGCCAGGAGUGCAUUGCUGCAGUCUGAAUUGCCAAACUGACUUUUCUCCCUUAUGGUGCCUGUAACUGUUCCAUGAGAUGCUUUCCUUUCCCUCUGAUAUUACAUCUUAUGCUGUCUGGGUCUAUAUAGGUGAAAGAAAUUAAGGAGCAGAUGGAUGUGCCUCAUAAAGAUAGCACUGGGAUAAUAUAGUGCGAGCAAACUGACACUGAAUGACCUAUCUCACAGGCCCACUCUUAGUUUACUUGUUUUGUAGUAUCUGAGAUAAUGAACGAAACUAAAGACUGUUUGAGUAAUAAUAUGGCCUAUUCACACUUUGUUCGUAACGAUUGCCUAAGAUGCACAGCAAAUAAAAUCUACCAGAUGCAGCAAAUUCUCUUGAGCCGAAGAAAGCAAAAUUGUAAUGUUGCAAAUGUAAAUGCUAGCAUUGCAGCUUAAUACACAUAUAAACCGAGCAAUCUAUAUUGUGCGAUCAUCAGUUUUUAAGAAAGGCUGGAGCCCAGGGAUUAGCAAAUGUUCUCAUCUGCAGUGUAUCAGCAGUUCUCAGUCUUCAGCUGCUAUCUAGAUAAUAAUUCUAAUUGAAGAAUCAUUACAUGAAUCCGUAUGUGAAUGAUAGAUGGGCUGUAGCCUUUUUUUCAUGAUGCUUUAAAAAUUGAGUUGCUAUUUUCACUUUUAUGAGAGGUGAUUAGAUUGCCUUUUUUCACCUUUUUUUUUUCAAAUGCAACAUUUUAAUCAACCUGGUCUGACAGGAUUUGGAAACUGAAGGGAAAACAAUUUCUGGAGCUGACAAUUUUUUUAAACAAUAGCUACAUUAAAGGCUUGAAUUGGUUACAAAGUGACUCUCCGUAGAGAGAAUCUUUGUUCAAAUGUUUUUAAUUCAGAAACCAGUGCUUGAAAAAUUGUGCUCUGUAAUAACUGUUUUUCAUGUAUUAUAUGUUUUUCCCCUCAAAGAUAACAGCAUACACUUUAGUGCAAUUUAAUAAUUCUUUUUAAAAGUCAUAGUUAAAAAGGCAUUUGCUCUGUCACUCAACGAGCAUCUGUCAUAUCAAAGACCUAAUAAUAUAUUUAUCUUGAUGGAUAAGCUUCAAUGUUCUGGACCGAGUUCAGUGUAACUGGACCAAGCUUUCAGUACUCCUUUGGGCAUCCUAAAGUCAAGUUCAUGAUAUAAUUAAGAUUGGUUUGAUAAUUAUAUCUGCUGCUGAGCAGAGGUCUUUCAUCAUACCGCAUUUCAACUAAAUUCUUUAACGUGGCAUCAAAGCUGAUCUGGUUCAGAAGCUGAAUUGCUUUCUUGACGUGGAUGGUGAAAUUUAAUUUGCCUUUAGAUUCUGGAUUCAAAUCCAGGCUGUCUCAGCUACAGCAAAAUUAUAACUGCUUUAUUUUAAUCUAAUGUGAGUAGAAAGAAUACAGUGGCUUCAGCUGGUUGCUACCUUUCCUAUUACUUGUUCUCAAAGAGCUAUGGACAUUAGGCUACUAUCUUAAACUCACUGCUGGUUGGGACCAGAGGUGGAAGUGGUUUUGCACAAGUAACAUGAGAGCAACAGUGAUGUGUGCAUUAUUAAUCUUUCUUUAAGCAUGCCAAGCGGAAACACAGCCCUUCAUUGGAAAGUUAAGACAAAUGUAGUGUUUCUGUUGAUCUCUCCUCUCCAAAAGCUGCUCUUUCUAGGUGCGCUUUUUGUGCUCAAAGUGUACCAGAGGCGUGCAUGGUCAAAAUACGGGGAAAAGGAACAAGGUCUCCAAUAUUUUUUACUGUUUCUAAAUUGGUUAUGUAUGUUUGGCUUUUCCUGUGCAUGAAGCAUGUAUUGCUAUGUAGACUCUUUAAAAAAAAAUAAAUUUGCAGCCCGUCUCAUCCCUUGCCUAAACAGUUUAACGCUGGAAACUGGAAUCAGUGCAGUGACUCCUUCAUAGGCGCUGGGGGUAUGUGUGGCUCCAGCACCGCAGCUGAGCGAUCCCUCUAACGCAGCAGCAAGGUCCCACUAUAGGAGGAGAAUUUGAUGCCAAGAAGGGGAAAGCAUUCCUGCUUUGGUUUUAUACUGGACUACCAAGCAGAUCUGACAAGUAGAACUAGUUUGCUGACACCAAUACUGUUGAGCAGUUAGUUAAUCCUAUAACCAGUCUUUCUGGAGCCAGAGGAAUUGCUGAUGGAAGUAGUGCUUAGCUUAGCCUGUAGAAUGUCAAACAGGGAAUGUAGCCAUUGAAGGAAGAAGAACCUUUCAAGUGUAACUAAAGAGAAAAAAACCUGCAACACAUUGUAUAAACUCUUGAUUAAAUACAAAUUGUCUUACUGCUCUCAUUGUUUUCUUCUGGUUCUCUCUGUACUGAAGCUAUAGUGCAGGUCUUGGCUUCUGAUUUUAUGCAGUAUCUGUUUCGGUAGUGGUAGAGGAAUUGCAAAUAGCUGGGUAGGUGGUGGGGCCUGGGACGCAGUUAAAAGAUAUAUUUCUAAAUGGAAGAUGAGGAAAGUGUCAAGGAAGUUUUUAAACAUAGAAAUAGUUUCCAGUGCUUGCUGUGCAGCUGAGGAGGCAGUGAGUCUCUUGGUACACAUAAUAAAGUCUUGAGCUGCUGCAUGGCACAAAGCAUCAGAGAAUGCUGUCUCUCCUUCCAUUGCAAUAGUAACCUGCCCACUAAUAGAAUUAAUUAUUAGUACUCUGUUCUCUCGUCACUCUACUGAGUAAUUUUGGGUGGGUUUUUUAGCAGACUGCACUGUACUAGUAUGUCAGAAAAGGAUGGGGAGGAGGGAAGGAUGCCUGCCAGUGCACUGCUGUCCCCAUUGAUGCGGAACUUCAUAUGCAAGAAGUUGACUGGAGCACACAAAAGCAGCAGGUGCAAGCGCACAUGCUGCUGGCCUUUUUUGUUGAUGGGUUUAUAAUCAGUAAACAGAUUUGAAUAUAAAAAUGUUUUUUAAUAAUGGUAUAAAGGAUGCUAUUAAAACUCAAGCUCAUAUUCCAUGCAGAUGGCAUGAACUGUCAUGCUCUGGUUUUCUCUUUGAUUUUGUUUCUAAAAAUUUCAUCUGAAUGUUAAAUGUGUGUCUGGGCAACACUUCAGGUUUCAGAAAUGCUGCGCACCAUGUCUGUCUUCUAGAAGUGGGUGGUCAGGUCAGGUCCCACACAGUUCCUCUCCGCUCUGUGAAGGCAUGCACAGGAGUUUCAGCCUCCAAGGUCUUUGGAAGUCAGCUAUUACUCAAUAACUCUGAGUUAUUGAGAGUCUUCAGAGAGAAUGUGCUGCGGCUGAUGGAGGUCUUUGUAGGCUGCCCAUACUCUUCACAGUACCUUGUGAUGUCUUCAUGCAGUGACUUCUGGAUCAGUGUGCUCUUUCACAGGUCCUAUUUUUUUCCUGCCUUGCACUUUCUCAAGGUUUUUACAUCUGUGCAAGUGGUGGUAAAACUCAGCUCUUUUGAUGUGACAGCGUGUGGCGUAUAUGGUGCGUGUACUUGGCACAAGCAUAGAAGGCCAUAGCAGGGGCAAGGCAGCCGGGAAUCAAGCCAGUUGUUUACACAUUCCUCCAAAGGACUGGUAGGUCAAACAUACUUUUUGUCCACAAUACUCUUCCAUUAGCAGCUGUUAGUGAAUGUUAACGCAUCAUAUUUUUUUCCCCUCGAGGCUGAGCACAUUAUCUCUACAACACUCCAGCACCUUGCUGGGAACAUGCCACAAUUCUGUUUUCAGAAUGUUUUGUUAAUGCCAGUGACCUUGGUGGUGUGACCACAACACCUGCUUUACCUGAUAAGAUCAUUAAUUUUUUUCUCUGCAGCCUUUGUGUUCAGCAUAAGCAAAUCUUCAUUUGUACCUGGAAAACAUUGCCCAAACAUCCGCUUACUGGAGCAAUGACCUGUAUCUCCCAGUAUAUUUUAAGGCGUUAAAUAGGUAAUUAGAAGAAAUGACUUCAAUAAAAGCAGAAUGAACAUAAGCCUCUUGUUAGCUGCAAUGGAGCAAGACGGUACUGGAAUCAAUUGCAUAGCUUUUCAGCUGUCACUCUGCUGCAGCAGCAAAUGUCUGUCCAGGGAGGUGACAGCAGAGAGCUGAUCUAUACUCUUCUCUGAGCUGCAGAGAUAAGCUGCACAUGCACAAUGAAUGUGUUCCCAAAAUAAACACAUUGGGAAGAACAGGAUAUUCUUCUAACAAUAAAUCUUCUCACUCUGCUAACAGUUCCUCCUUCCUCCUUUGUUAGUUUACCAGGUUGCUGUCACCUCCUGCCUUUUUAAUUGCAGUGGUUGUGUGUUCUCCUUCUGUCUCUUACUUUACAGGUUUGUUUUUCUGCAUGCUGCUGCUUUGUAUUUCUGCAUUUGCACCAAGUGCCGCAUCCCACUUUCUGCCAUAUCCCACCUUCGGUUGAGGUGGGGCCCAUCUGUGAAUGAAACACAAGAAGUAUUGCCCCCCCCUCCCCCCACCCAGCAUGACUGCAGCUGGCAGUGCCACAGCUGCAGCUGGUAUCAGUAAAGUGCUCAUCGGGAUCCUUAGGAAAAGGUUUAAAUGGGUCUGGAAUCAGGUUUGGGGUGGAGGAGCUGUAACUCCAGAGCCCUUUAAAGGGGCUGGCCCUAAUUCAAUCCUUAUCCCCGUGCUUUGUGCAGGCAGGACUCCAGGGGGAUUAUAUUUGCUUUUGCAUCCUUAUUAAUCAGGCAUGAAUUUAUUAAAUGAU